AUUUUUAUGGACGUUUUUUAUUUGUAGAACCAUGGUACGUCUGUGUCAUGUCUUCGAUUGUGCUUUAACGAGCAUAUUUAUGACUGCACGACAAUCAACACCUUGUGGAUUUUCUUGCACAAAAAGAGAGUGCCAUUAAUAUUGUUACCUUGCACCAGUUUGCAUCAUAGUGCUUGAUGUAUAAUAACAGGCCGUUUUAAGUAAGCAGUGGACAAAACAUUGCCCAACAGCAAGAGGGCAUUACAAAGUAGAAGUGCGGUAAACGAUUACUGAAUAAAUAGUAAAUAUUAUAUGCUAUGGUGUUUUUUUUAUUUCUCAUUGAAUAUGAUUUAGAUGUCCCAGGGUGAAUAGCUUGCGAAACGGAAACUAAAUUGGGAUGAACAGGUGCUGGGCAGUGUAGUUUAGCCCCCUCUAGUAAAAUCCCUGCAUAUUUCUAUGAUCAUAAUGACUGCAGGGUGACAACAUAAUUAUUCAUCACUGCUGUAGUAGCUGCUAGCGAAAUUAAAAUGUGAAAGUUGGAACAGCAGGUGGCUGUCACAAAGAGGGAAAAGGAUGUGACAUGACAGAUGUUCCAACAAAUGAUAAUGCCUUGGCGAAAAUUCAGCACAAAAAUAAGCAAGGACGAAAGAGAGACUACACAAAAGAAGCAUUAACUAGUGACAUUACGUUUAUUCGGAAGGAUGGGUUAAAGUAAAAAAUAAAAGAAAGUCCUUGUAUCCACGGUCCUAUUAAGCAGUCAAGCUUUGACUAACUCUAUUUAUAUAAACCUUUUUUUGACUGUUACAUUUAUGCGAGCAGCUUUAGUUUUUUUCAUGGCUUCUCUGUCAUUAUUCAAUCUUGGUCGUACAGAAAGUUCUGUAUAUUCUAAUAAGUAUUUGACAGUAACCACUGUGUGCGGCACUAAUUGGCAGAUACUCAUUAGGCGUUUUGAGUAGUGAUUUGUUGAACACAUACUUUUUGGAAUUAUAUUUUGACCUUAAUGCAUGACUUGCUUGAUUACUACUUUGUAGUUUGUUGAUAAAUAAGAGUUUCGUAAAUAUUGGACCAGUUACCUGUGGGUUGCAUUUUUUCAUUUUGCUUCUUGCAUCUGCAGAAACAAACCAGGAGGAGUGUAGCCUGACUUGCAGAUACAGUGGAAGUGGAUGAGCUGGUUGAAAUGCAACUUUUGGGGUACUUGUUCUUGGGUUACCGCAUUAUUGACUGGGAAACCAGUGAGAUCUCUGGAUGCAAGUGGAGCUAUCGAGGGAGGCAUGUGUGCAUCACUUGUGCUGCUGGCCAUCCUCUGUGAAAGUUAAGGCUGGCUGUCAGUGCUUGAAUGACUUCCUUUUGUUAGUCUACCCCCUGUGCUGUGUUGACUACUUCAGACAUGCUGCCAUGUCUGCAUGCUUAGGCAAAAAGGCGGGCCGGAUGCUUGGGAGGACAUAGUAUAUAACCUCAGUGGUACUGUGCUGUGUUUUUGUGCAUUACAAAGUGAAGGACAGUAUUUGUGCUGUUAUUAGGAAGUAUAAAUUGUGUUCUGCCAUUGAAAUAGGAGAAUGUGACAAAAAGCAAAAAAUUUCGAUGUCUGACCUAAAUGUGAAGGCAACAUAGUAUAUUGUGUUGUAGUUGUUAGUAGAGUGUACUAAUAUGCGAUACAAAACCUUGAUGCUUAAUGUAAAAUAUAUUUGUUUAAGUGUGCUAUCAGUGCUGUUCACAUUGUUUUUCUAAGAAAAGUUAGUGUUAUCUAAGUGGAAUUAUUUGUUUGCCAGGAUGAUAUAAGCAGAUAAAUGCAUGGUUUGACAUUAUAACCAGGUUUGUUUAGAACAUAUUCACUAUUAUUAUUCACUGUGUACUGGAGAUUAUCGGUGCUGGCACGGUGAAGUAUGAAAGAGGAAGUCGACAAACUAGUAGUGCGCCCUCGAUCCGUGUCCAGCUGAGACUGCUCCGUCUUCUUGUAUUUCGGUCAGACGCCCUGUGGACUUACAAGAACAUCCCGUGCCAUUUGGUGGAGGUGCUGGGUUAACGUCUUCCCCGACCUGGAGCUCCGCAGCCGUACGUUGCCAUCUGCGGCCACAAUGACCGACGACGCCGGCCCUUCGCAAUCCGCUCCCGCCCCCCCGGCUGCCGUGUGUUCUGGUGCGGUACGUCAGCGCGACCCUGCCAUCUUCAGCGGCACCGACGAUCACGACGUGGAGGACUGUCUUGCGGAGUAUGACCGCGUUAGCGCACGUAACAAGUGGGCUGACCACGACAAGCUGACCAACGCCAUCUUUUAUCUGACUGAUGUGGCAAAUCUGUGGUUUAGAAACCACGAAGCCGAGUUUACAACCUGGUCAGCUUUCACCGAGACCCUCACUUCGGUCUUCGGCCGUCCCACUGUGCGCAGACUCCGUGCUGAACACCGUUUGCGUGGUCGCGCUCAACAAAGCAGUGAAACCUUCACGAACUACAUUGAGGACGUCAUCGACCUCUGUAAGCGCGUGAAUGCGUCCAUGACCAAAGUCGAUAAGAUAAGGCAUAUUAUGAAAGGCAUAGACGAUGCCUUCCAUAUGCUCAUGGCCAAGAAUCCUUCGACAGUUGCACUAGUAAUUGAGCUCUGUCAAAGCUUCAACGAGCUGCGCAAGCAGCGCCUUUCCACCCGUCACACCGGUUUGCAAUCCGCUGACCUCUCGGCCUUGGAGCCUGGAUGCCUUAGCGCUGAUCACUCCGGCUUGCUGCCGCAGAUUCAGCAAUACAUUCGGGAAGAAGUGGCUUGCCAGCUAUCUCUUGUGGCGUGUGCUGCUGAGCCUGCUUCCACGCUAGAACCGUCGCUCCGUCGUGUGAUCCAAGCGCAAGUUUCUGAGGCGCUCCCACCUCCCUCUCCAUCGCCGCCUGUGACUGCACCCUCUGACUUACGCUGCCGCUCUCAACCGACCUCCUCCGUGACCGAUGUCUACUACCGUCACAGGUUGUUCUUGUGAGUCCACAGGGCGUCUGACCGAAGUACAAGACGGAGCAGUCUCAGCUGGGCACCGAUCGAGCGCGCACUACUAGUUCGUCGACUUCUUCUUUCACACUUCACCGUGCCGGCACCGAUAAUCUCCAGUACAACUGAUAUUAUUUAAGGGGAACCAAUCCAUAUUCACCCCACCUAGUUUUAGGGUGAAUAUGAAUAUGCAUUGGGCCCCUUAAAGGGGCCCUGAACCACCCCUCGGGCUUGGUGAAAUAACAUAGUCCGCGGGUAGCAUACGCUGUUGUGAACAUCUCAGCCAAGUUCUGCUGUCAUACACGGUCCGUGGAGCUUGCAAGCAGAACGCGAAGUCGCCUUUCUCUCGAACGCUCUUGUUUCAACAGACCCCAUGAUCCUUGCUCUUUUCUGUGUGCUUUAUUUCAUAAUAAAGCACACUCCAAUACACGGCUGCUAUUGGUCGCAACGGUCGGCUACACCGCGGCCACCGCGAGGUGCCGCCACAAGUCCAGUGGCUAAGCUCACUGCGGAUCGCUGCGGACAACCGCAUUUGGGUUACGUUUAGUGCUUUGUAGGCACCAAAAUCAGAAGUGCAAAAUAAAAUUUCAACUGCGCGCCUCGAUGACGUUGUUGUGGCCCCGCCCCACUACGCCGUAGCCUUCGCAGUGCAAGGCAUUGCUAGAAGGAAGGGGAGCACAGCAGAUGCCGUGUUUGAUUGCCAAUAACUCCGCUUCUGCUGAACGCAUUGAAGUAAUUUUUGUGGCAAAGUGAUUCUGAAAUAGCCUGUUUUCACUUAAAAUGUAUUUCUCCACUUCGAUAAAAUGUGGUUCUGGGCCCCAAUAUCAGUGAAUAACAAUAGUGAAUAUGUCCUAGACAAACCUGGCUUAGGAAAUAUGCAGGCGCAAGUUGGAAUCGGCUAGCGCAAGAUAGGGGUAAUCGCAGGGAGAGGCCUUUGUCCUGCAGUGGACAUAAAUAUAGGCUGAUGAUGAAGAUGAUGAUGAAUGCAUAUCCAUGGGUGCAUAUUAAACCACCACAUGUUCCUCCUUCACAAGAAAUUCUUUAAUACUAGUGGUUGUUCUUAGCAGCUGACGUUGACUAUUAUGCAAUUUCUUGGGAGCACAUGCAGCUACCGACACAUGAUUUCUAGAGCAGUAAGUCAGAAGGAUAGAAACUGAUUUUUCUGCAGCCUCAGCUUAAAUGAUAUGUUUAUGGAAAAUGAACAUUUGUGGAUGAUUUUGAGACUUUCUGUGAGAACCUUUAUACGAGAACCUCUGCGCACUGGACGUGCAUACUGCUGUCUUGCUGUUAUAGCCAUAAUGAAAAAGUUGUUAUGAAUCACUUUGCAGCUUUUGCAUUAUGCACUUGUACUUGCAGUCAGCAUCUAUAUGCUGUGCUAUGGACAACAGCAAGACAACAAUCAGGCAAACCAACACGUGAAACACUUUAAAGAUUCUAGAUUAGAGCGAGUUGGUACUAUAUAGUGCAAAACUCAUCAGCUGCUCGUACAGAUGGUAAGAUACACAAGAAAUAUACAUAAAAGAAUUAAGUUUUUCACCAAUUUUUGUUUCACAUUUUCAUGCACGUAACAUGAAACCGCAACGAGAAAACUACUAAAAUGCAUAAACUGUCAAGUAGUAGUAUAAACUUUAUUUCUCUUUGUGGUUUUUGGCGGUGGGUGGGUCCCUCAGUUCAGGGCUCUACUGGUCUCUGUGGAUCGCUAGGCUUGAUCGAGAAGAGCUCUCUGGCUCUCUAGAUGUUCACUAGCAAGCCAACCCUCCCACUGCCUGUUACCUGGCACUUGCGCCUUAAGGGGCGAAUUGGAAUUGGGAGGCUGUAGUUUACAUGUCCACGUUACAUGGGCAAGAGUUGACCGCUCCCUCCGCCAAGGACAUGUAUCUUCAUAGAGUGCAGGGUGUAUCUUACUGAGUAUUUGGAGGUGUGGAUAAGUGUUUGUUUGUAUACAGUGCCAGUCCCUGGCUUGUUCUCCCACAAGAUCGAGGUGUGGGCGGUUGUAUUUUUGUCUCCUUUCUUUGGCUUUUGAAGAUGAUGUGCGGGUGAAUGGGGAAUUCCUCGAAAGGACCAACUAGUGCUCGGGUGCUUAUUUCUUGAGCAGUUCACACCACCCUUGUUUCCCUCGAGUCAAGAGGGCUCCGAGCACCACACUAUCGCGUGGCGCAAUUCUGUGGCGGUGCCUAGCAUUCUGUGGAUUUUGUGUGGGACGGUACUCAUGAAUCAACAGCAUGCUGCCUGGGAGUCUGUCAUGACCAAUGCAGCUUGUUCUUUUGCCUCUGCAUCUCGAAGGGCCAGCGUUUUGGCUGCUACCUCCGCGGUGCAGGUCGAAAGGGUCUGAAUGAAGGCCGAUAUCGCUGUGGACUGAUUGAGGGCCACUAUUAUGAAUUUGUCUGUUGCCACUCUACACACGUUCGUGUAAUAUAUGUCUGGAUUUCUUCCAUAUUUGUUUUGUAAAGCACUUGAUUGUGCUUUUCUUCUGCUUUGGUGGUGUUCCGUGCUCAUAUGUCAAGCAAAUAUAAAUUUAAGGGUUUGCAGUGCUAUCAGCUGUGUCAUGCUGACAGCACUGCUGUGUCUGGCUUUGAAUGUUCUGCAAUAUCAUUUGAGUGUUGCUUGAAUGUCACAAACAUACCUUGCUUGAAAGCUGAAGUGACAUUAGGCAACAUCCAGAUUACGUCCUCAGGAUGUUGAAUUGACAUUAUGCCAAUGUCGUGAAUGUGCUGUUCAAUGCUGCCAUAACAUUAUGGCCCAAAGUUGUCCAGUCAUCAAACAAGAGGGCAUUGCAGCAUGUAGGCAACGUUGUGCACCAAUUUUUCGGCAGAUUCAGAGAAGUCAUGGCAACAUAUUAUGUUACUUCGGUGAAGCGCUUGGGAUGCGCCCACUUCAUUCACGUUCCAAACGUCAACAAUGCAAAGAUAAUUUAGAUUGCCACAAUUUCUAGAGGCAUGCAGCAAGCCAUCGGUAGAAAUCCAGCUUAUAUAAAGGCUGACAAGAUGUCGCAGGUGUUUCAGGCCCUCCCAGCUGUCUUUCCGGGAUAUCAGGUACGAGUUGAAGUGUAGAAGUUCGAUGUGGGGACAACUGAAAAAUAGCUGUAGAAAAAUUCGGUCGUCGAAGCCCACUUCGAAGGAAGCUAUCAGCUCUUUAAGGCACUCGAGGCGCUCCAAGGAGCGAAUGUCACCUAGCAGUGCUGUAUCCCUGCCAUGCCGCACGACGGUACAGAGCGAUUCGCAGUCCGUUGUAUGACCACAUGCUAGCUUGUGACAAUGCACGGCCAGGUAUCGCUAUUCUCUUCAACAUGUUGAACCGGAUCGAGGCUAAAGCAAUACUCUCGAGAUCAAGAGGUCCCGUCGAAAUGUCCAACUUACGUAUCAUUGUAGCCCUGUCCAGAAUGUCGCACACGUGUUGCAUGUUCCUUGCAGAAUUCAAGUUGAGGCACACUUCCUUCCAAAGGCUGGGGUCAAAAGCAAUUGUCUUCCACCAUGUUGGGACUUGGGCUAUGAUCGGCAGACAUCGUUGAGGAAGAUGGGACACAAUCUUUAAAGCCAGCUCAGCUGGUAGAUCGUUAAACGUAUCCAUGGCUGAUCACUUUCGUUUCGUUUUCCUUUUCUGAUGGCGCAUAUCCACAGUGCAGAUUGGCGAAGAUUUGGAUGGUUUUGCAAACAAGGUAUUUUAGGCUAGUCUGGCCUCUCUUCCAGCGAGAGAAGCUUUUUAUUACAAGGCAGAGAUUUUAGCUGGCGUGCAAACAACCGCUGAAAUGUUACUUUGCACAAAGGAGGGGAAGGGGAUUAAAAGCUGAGGGAUGACCUUGUUCCAGUUCCUUAGUGAGAUGGCGCAACCCACUCUGUGGGAUUGGCCAUGAAUCGGGCAGUGAAAAGACUGUUAUUAUCGUUUUUUAGGAGAAUAAGGCGAAAUGAAAUAGCUGUCUUGUAAAUGUGAAAUAUAAUGUUAACUGUUACAGAUAUGAAGGCUUAAAUAUCUAAAUAUCACUAAAAAUUAUUUGAGCACAGGUAUAAAACAGCAAUUUUAGCAUGAAAUUCUUUUUGUCUCACGCAGAAAGUUGCAGAGGGCUUCACAAACGUUCAUGUCGCUUUAACCCAGUAUGUUAGCCCCAAAGGAAUGAAUUACCGGACUAGUCGAAUUCAAGCCAAGGUUUUGGAAGGGUUCGUCUAAAAAUAUUUUUAUUUGAAUAAUGAACUGGUGGAAAGCUAAAAAGGAAUGUUGCAGAGAUUCACUGUCAUUACAUAAAGGACAUAAAGGUGAUAUAGCCAGACCAGACCUCUGAAGGAGAAAGUUCAGUUGGGGACACCCGGCACCGUAGUCUCGUAAUCGUUACUUCAAAUUUUCUUGUGAAGCAUCAUUUGUUGUUCCAAGGAAAAUUGAGAUGCGGGAAAGUGGGUGUUGACAGCAAUAAUUGGUGAAGUUAAUUGUAGUAGCAUAUUUUCUUAAUUGCACUGCAGUGAUGAAAGCCGACGUUGGUCAGAUGGGACUUGCAACGUUCAAACAUCUCGGACCAUAACGGACUCGCCAAGUGAUGGAACCAACAACCUGCAUUUGUAUUUGAAAGAUGACUGAAAUAUACAUAUGGGGAGAAAGAGAUUUGUAAGUUUUGAUUUCAACACAAAUGAUGCAGCUGGGUUGCCAGCGUCGAGUACGAAUAAGCAUACGGGGCCCUUUCUGAAUUGCAUUGCCUUAUUACUUGUUCUCGGAAAUGUUAAGAGCAUCCAGCACUUCAGGUGGGUAGAUUGUGUUUAAUGCUCUGAGAGAUGUAGUGGGAGGUGCUUUAGCGUCUUUCUGAUAAGCGGGAACGAAGUAUUGAUUUUCCUGGACGUUAUACUUCCACUCGCUGGCCAAGGGGUCUUGGCACCUAUGAUCCGCCCGCAUUGUUGCUCAAUGUCGCAGAUGUGCUGCGCUUAAAGGCGUCUUUUUAGAGCGAGGAACUCCUUGAAAUUCCACACCUCACUAAUCACAGUAUCCUGCGCUGAGUGCGACAAGCAAUACGCGCGGAGCUAGAGACGCGUGCUGCCAUUGCUCGACUCGUCGAGUUGUCGAUUUCAACGACGUCCAGAUGGGCUCGCACGAGGUUGGUGAACUUGAUCAACAUGGACAAUGAGAGUCUCUGGCCGCAGAGAUUAUCAAUGGAGAUUCGCUACAGGCCUUUGCAUCUAGAAAUAGUGUUUAUGGCAGCUACUGUAUAAGCAUUGGUGUGCUAAAGGCGAUACACUCAAGCUUGUCAUGAAAGUUUUCGGGGAGAAGCACAAAGUGCUCACCUUGCAUGUGGAGGCGUGGAACUUUGAAGUUUGGUAUCUCUCGUGGUGUGAAUCUGGCGUCAAACCAACCCGUACCACAGUUGUUGUACACGGAGAUGAACUCCAGCUUCCGAAACCCUGAGAGGUGGGGCGUCAUCGACAAUGUGGAUAUAAUUUAGAUUGCCACAAUUCCUAGAGGCAUGCAGAAAUGCAUCGUUAGAAAUCCGGCUUAUAGUAGUAGUAGUAGCAGUCAUAUAUUGAGGCAACAAUUACAGGCCGAGCAUAUCAACCGCCUGGGCGGCAAGUCUACGCUGUUCUUCUUCCCCUUCAGCGUCGAGCCAGGUGGUGAUGGAAAGGGAAAGGGGAGGAUAGGAAUCUGAUUGCUGAACAGCUGGGCAGUAGAAAAGGCAAUGAGAUAGGUCCGCAUAUGUAGAGGGGCAGUUGGAGCAGCUGGGGUCGAAUCAAUAGCAAUAAACAGACGGGAGGGGGUAACCAGCAUUCAUUGAGAUGUGCCGCAGAAGGCGAGCCUCUGGCACAGUGAGUGAUGGAUGAGGGGGAGGGUAGAGGCGCUUGUCGAGACGGAGCUGGAGGUAGACUUCCUUGAUGGGUGCGGCGCAGGGAGAGUCUCCCACAGUCCUCCGAGGGCUUGGGCCAGGGGAUCAUUGGUGCCCGGUUAGAGAGAGUGAGAAUAAACAUCUUUAUUAAGAGAUUAUUUUAAGAGUUGUCUUCGGGGUGGUCUCCCCUUUCAAGGAAACCAUAGGCUUUUGCUGCCUCCACGACCCUCGCUACCAGCUGGCGCUGGCUUGCGAGGGUGGAGCUGGCUAGGGCACUCUCCCAAAGCUCAGGUGUGUGGUAUGGAUUGGGUGAUUCUCUAAGGGGUGACUCUGUACAGCCCCCUACCAUGUGGUAGAGGGUGCCCUGUGCUCCACAAAAGUGGCAAAGUGGAGGGGACAUAUAGGGGUGAAGUGGUAGUUUCUAGAUGGGUGGGAGAAUGUUUGCAGUGCUCUAAGAAUGCGGUCAUUACCUUUUGUUAUUUUUUUAUGCGGGGUCGGAAAUAUUCUUCGUUGCAACCUAUAGUGCAUAGUGAUUUCCUGAUAAGAGACUAGAGGGUGUGGUCACCCUGGCUCCUCCGUUGUGCCAGGGGCUCGGUUAGUGAAACCUCGAGCCGUGAGAUGCUCCAUCUAGUUGCCUGGGAUGUCAUGACGCGCUGGAGCCCACAAAAUCUUUAUUCGUCUCUUGGGGGGGUCCCUCUGGAGUAUUUGCCAGGAGGUUUGGUGAAUUCUGCUGUAAGAGAAAUUGCAGCAUGCUUGUUGGGAGUCUGUUAUGACGGUGUCUGCGGUCGUCUGUGCGAUCGCCAAGGCGAUGGCCACUUCCUCGCCAACGACGGGGUUGUCAUUGCGGAUGGAGACGCUUGUCAGGUACUCUUGACUUACGGUUACGGUGGAUGUGGAGGCUCUCUUGCCGGGGUACAGGGCCGCGUCAGUCUAAGCGACUAGUGGAUGGUUGCCAUACUGUUUGGUGAUGACUUUAGCCCUUGCAGCCCUUCUUCCUGCGUUGUGGAUAGGAUGCAUGUUGGUAGUGGCUGAACCAGGAUCUGGCUCCGUACGCACUUGGGUAGCAAGGCCGUCGUUUGGGGUUGAUGCUGCAGCGGCGAAUUAAUGCCCAGUCUACUGAGAAUAGUUCGUCCCGUCGUCGUGGUGGAAAGUCGUACCCGAUGAUUGGUCAGGUGAGCCUCUAUGAGAUCUUCAGUGGUAUUGUGGAGCCCUAGCUUCAGCAGCUUGUCGGUAUAUGUACUGAUUGGUAAGCCCAGAGCCCGCUUGUAGGCUUUCCGCAAGAGGGUGUCAAUUUUCUUGAUGUCGGUGGAAGUCAAGAGUGCGUACGGUACGGAGUAAGUGACUCUAGAGACAACGAAGGCUUGUACGAGGCGCAGCGCUUCCUCCUCCCCCAUGCCCCUUGUUUUUGAUAUUAUUCUUUGGAGCAUGUGCAUGACUUGCUUGACCGUCGACUUUAGUCUGUUUAUAACGAUGGUGUUGGUUCUGUUUUGCUGGAAGUGCAUCCCGAGCACCUUGAUGCUGGGGGAGGGGGAGAUUACCUGUCCUUCCAGGUGGAUGCAUGCUCGGUUAGAAACGUCACGGGCGAGCUGAUGCGCAAGCUCAAUGAAAAGGCUCACAAGACGUCGCAGGUGUUUCAGGCUCUCCCAGCUGUCUUUGCGAGAUAUCAGGUACGAGUUGAAGUGUAGGAGUUCGAUGUGGGGACAACUGAUGUAUAGCUGACGAAAAAUGUCAUCGAAGCCCACUUCGAAGGAAGCUAUCAGCUCUUUAAGGCACUCGAGGCACUCCAAGGAGCGAAUGUCACCUAGCAGUGCUGUAUUCCUGUCAUGCAGCACGACGGUACAGAGCGAUUCGCAGUCCGUUGUAUGACCACAUGCUAGCUUGUGACAAUGCACGGCCAGGUAUUGCUAUUCUCUUCAACAUGUUGAACCGGAUCGAGGCUAAAGCAAUAAUCUCGAGAUCAAGAGGGCCCGUCGAGAUGUCCAACUUACGUAUCAUUGUAGCCCUGUCCAGAAUGUCGCCCACGUGGUGCAUGUUCCUUGCAGAAUUCAAAUUGAGGCACACUUCGUUCCAAAGGCUGGGGUCAAAAGCAAUUGUCUUCCAUUAUGUUGGGACUUGGGCUAUGAUCGGCAGACAUCGUUGAGGAAGAUAUGUCAAAAUCUUUAAAGCCAGCUCAACUGGUAGAUCGUCAAACGUAUCCAUGGCUGAUCACUUUCGUUUCCUUUUCCUUUUCUGAUGGCGCAUAUCCACAGUGCAGAUUGGAGAAGAUAUGGAUGGUUUUGCAAACAAGCUAUUUUAGGCUAGUCUGGCCUCUCUUCCAAAGAGAGAAGCUUUUUAUUACAAGGCAGAGAUUUUAGCUGGUGUGCAAACAACCGCUGAAAUGUUACUUUGCACAAAGGAGGGGAAGGGGAUAAAAAGCUAAGGGAUGUCCUUGUUCCGGUUCCUGAGUGAGAUG